rnacentral:tRNA from 1 species
GCGCCAUUAGCUCAGCUAGGCAGAGCAGCUGACUCUUAAUCAGCGGGUCCGGGGUUCGAUUCCCUGAUGGCGCA